UCGUAUGUCAACAAUUGUAAC
ensembl:piRNA 21ur-2426 ncRNA